rnacentral:rRNA from 1 species
GACGAACGCUGGCGGCGUGCCUAAUGCAUGCAAGUCGAACGGGUCUUCCUCGGGAGGUCGGUGGCGAGCGGGUGAGGAACACGAGGGGGCCUAUCCGUCAGGGGGGGACCACACCGCGAAAGCGGUGCUAAUCCCGCAUCCGCCCGGCGGAGGAAAGCUUGGCAACACGGGGUGCAGACUGGCCCUGGGUCGCAUCAGGUGGUAGGGGGGGUAACGGCCCACCAAGCCCGCGAGGGGUCGCUGGUCUGUGAGGACGACCAGCCAGACUGGGACUGAGACACGGCCCAGACUCCUACGGGAGGCAGCAGCAGGGAAUUUUCGGCAAUGGGCGAAAGCCUGACCGAGCCACGCCGCGUGCGGGAUGACGGCCUUCGGGUUGUAAACCGCUUUCGGCGGGGAAGAUACUGACGGUACCCCCCGAAUCAGCCCCGGCUAACUCUGUG